CGUGGGAGGUCAUCAUCCUACUCUUCUUCUCCCAGUCCUCGCAAGGGACCCCGCAAGAUUUCAAAGAGUCGCAGUCCUAAGAGAAGGCCUUUAAGAGGGAGGAGCCCCAGCAACAGUAACAGCAGCAGUUCACCACCUCGUAAGCCCUAGGUUUGUUGCUUGCGACAUGUACGUCCUUGACGGAUGAGCUUUGUAAUCUUAAUCCUGCUGGAGAAAGGAGCCCCUUAGGACAACUUGAUUACUUCAUUUGAACGUAUGAAUGUGAAUUCUUUUAAUGAUUGUAUACUGAUGUCCAAAUUCACAUUAUUUUGGUUUAGUUGCAUUGCUGUGCCUCAGAUAUCUUCCGACGACAGUAAACAUAUUAAUUGAAAAAGUGGG
rnacentral:misc_RNA from 1 species